AAGGUACACAGCAUUUGUGGAUUUUUGCUACCAGGAAUGGUUUUGACUGUGUAAUAAGAGAUAUACAGUUGCUCUCCUCUAUCCAUGGGGAAAAGUGCCAAACAAAUGACAGGUUCAGAUGUCCUACAACAAGUGAAAAGAUAACAGAUUUUGGAAUAUUCAUACAAAGGAAUACCGCUUAACAAUAAAAGAGAACGAGCUAUCGACGUGUGCAGUAACACAGGUGAAUCAAAUUGAUGCAACCAAGACACUAUGGAAAUAUCAAACCCUGGAGAACAGAGUGAGAGGGUAAGAAUGAGGAAGAAAAGAUUCCUAGAGGAAUUACCAGGAAGCUGAGAUGUGCAUGGCUGCUUCUUAGAUGAGUCAUCACCAAACUGUGUUGUCCUGUGGUAAGGAAGAAGCCUAUGUCAGGAAAUCUGGGACAUUCGAUGACACUCUUGCAUGUCUAUGGCUGCUUUAUGAUCAGUUUCAUCAAUUAUGAAGGAAAUGUCAGCUGGGACCCAGAGGAGGAGCCAUCUCAAGGUCAUUGAACAAGUGUGGUUCCGCCUUGUCCUUAAUUGUUUUUCUACAUCAAACCAUCUUUUCAAAAAGUUACUUGAUUCUAAAGUUGAAAAUGAAAAUGUUAAAUAAAACCUUCUCCUAAUUUAGCAGAAAAAUGUUGUACCCAGAAAGUUCCUUUUGUAUUUAUUCCACUAUUUUAUCAGACAUGUUGAAAGACCAGAUAGCUGGGUUUUUUUAGCGGGGGAGAAUUAGAGAAAGGGCAUAUUUGUCACCUUCCUAGUUACAUACAGUUUGCAGAUUGGUUGCCAACAUUUUAAAUCUUCCCCAAAUUACUUAAUAGUAAAGAAGGAAUUUUAUCGAAUAUUAGGACAUGGCAGCAUCUGUAGACACAGUGUUUUUUUUUUGUUUGUUUGUUUUUUUCUGUUCAGGACAUAGUGAUUCAGUUUGUUUUCCAUAUAUACAUGAAAUAACGGAUCACAUAGGUGGGAA